AGAGUUUGAUCAUGGCUCAGGAUGAACGCUAGCGGGAGGCUUAACACAUGCAAGUCGAGGGGCAGCACGAGGUAGCAAUACUUUGGUGGCGACCGGCGCACGGGUGAGUAACGCGUAUGUAACCUACCCUGUACAGGGGGAUAGCCCGGAGAAAUUCGGAUUAAUACCCCAUAAAAAUAGAUUGAGGCAUCUUGAUUUAUUUAAAGUUUCGGCGGUACGGGAUGGGCAUGCGUAACAUUAGCUAGUUGGUAGGGUAACGGCCUACCAAGGCUACGAUGUUUAGGGGUCCUGAGAGGGUGAUCCCCCACACUGGUACUGAGACACGGACCAGACUCCUACGGGAGGCAGCAGUGAGGAAUAUUGGUCAAUGGGCGCAAGCCUGAACCAGCCAUCCCGCGUGAAGGAAGACUGCCCUAUGGGUUGUAAACUUCUUUUCCAGGGGAAUAAAAUCCCGAACGUGUUCGGGACUGAAGGUACCCUGGGAAUAAGCAUCGGCUAACUCCGUGCCAGCAGCCGCGGUAAUACGGAGGAUGCGAGCGUUAUCCGGAUUUAUUGGGUUUAAAGGGUGCGUAGGCGGAUUGAUAAGUCAGUGGUGAAAACCUGCAGCUUAACUGUAGACUUGCCAUUGAUACUGUUGGUCUUGAGUACGGUCAAGGUAGGCGGAAUGUGUAAUGUAGCGGUGAAAUGCUUAGAUAUUACACAGAACACCGAUUGCGAAGGCAGCUUACUGGGCCGCAACUGACGCUGAUGCACGAAAGCGUGGGGAGCGAACAGGAUUAGAUACCCUAGUAGUCC
rnacentral:rRNA from 1 species